GAUUCGCCUCUUCCUCCGCCUCCUAGAGUCACCAUGCCUCCUCCGCCGGGCGAUUGCUCUUUCACCCCGUCGGAGCUCCUCUCCUUCCUCCGCCUCAAGAUCGCCGGCGAGCCCCUCCCUGCCACCGCCGCGGCACAUUUCCACGACGCCGACAUCUACACCGCCGAACCGGCCCAGCUCACGACGCUCUUCGAUCCGGCUCCGGCGAAGAAAGGGAAGGGCAGCUCCAGCUCGUGGUUCUUCUUCACCCACGUCAGGCCCAAGAGCAGCAGCGACAGCCGCAAGUCGCGACUGGUUGCCGGUGGGGUGGGCACGUGGCACUCCGAGCGCGCCCCCCGCCGCGUGCUCGACGACGAGGGCGAUUGCGCCGGACACAGCCAGUAUUUCUCCUACAAGCUCAAGAUCGGGAAGAACUGCAGCGAGAGGACCGAGUGGUACAUGCUGGAGUUCAGCGAUGGCCAAGAAGCCGAUCACGAGCGCGUCCACGGCGGCGAGCCCCAGCUGGUUCUUUGCAACGUCUACAAGGCGCAUACCCAUUCGCGCAGCAGCAACGGAUCCACGUCGACACCGUCAUCCUCUGCCUCAGCGCGCAAGAGGAAGGCUGUCGGUGAGGCCUCUGCUCCCCCCGUCAAGGCAAGGCGGCAGCUUUUCUAUUCCUCUGCGCCAGCUUCAGCGGCCAAGUCGCAAGAACAGGUCAGGCCUCUGCUCCCCCCGUCAGGGCAAAGUGAUACAUUGGACUGCAUCGCGCUGAUGACCAAGGCAGACGGCAAGGCAACAACCUCGCAGUUGAAGAUCGGUGAUAUAUCAGUUUUUUCAAGAUUUUGGCCUGAACCAGAGAAGUCGACAUCAGACUGCAUUGCGCUGAUGUCUAAGGCAGAGGGUGAGGGUGAGGCAACAACGUCGCAGUUGAAGAUCGGCGAUACACCAGAUUUUUCAAGAUUUUGGCCUGAACCAGAGAAGUCGUUCGACGGGGGCUACACGACGGCCGGCGGCGCUCUUCCUACGCUCGAGAACUGCUCCCGGACAAAUGUCAGGGACGUCGCCGAUGUGUUCUGCGGGCAGGAUGCUUGGCCCUCUGCUUUCCAUAGCAACAAUGACACCACGACGUUCGUGUGCGGUAUGCCCUCUGCUCCCGUUCUGCAGCCGCCUGCGUUCGUGUGCGGUAUGCCCUCUGCUCCCGUUCUGCCGCCGCCUGCGUUCGUGUGCGGUAUCCCCUCUGCUCCCGUUCUGCAGCCGCCUGCGUUCGUGUGCGGUAUGCCCUCUGCUCCCGUUCUGCUGCCGCCUGCUUUCGUGUGCAGUAUGCCUUCUGCUCCCGCUCUGCCGCCGCCGGGGGAUGCGUCUUGGUGGUGCGGUAGCCACGACGUUCGGAGCUACUGAUCAUGUGACUAGAGCUUCCUUUUCUAUCCACUGAAGAGCGACUGACAAAGAUUUUGGGCAAAGUGCUUCGAGUUCCGUUUUAGUUGCUUGGAGGGCUUGGCAUGUUUAGUUACCUAUUGCAUUGACUACCAAGACUAUGUGUGUUGACGGCUAUUAUUAGAUUGAUUAAUCUUGUUUAUUACCAUACUAGUGAUGUUGCUGUAACAGCCGAGAGCUGAAAAUUUUAUUGAAUCUGAAACUUUUGGGUUCUUAUCCAAUUAUAAUAACUUCUGUAUAAUAUUUCUUGUGUAAAUGUGUACAUCUCUGCUUGCUCAUGCUAAUUGCUAAAAGCCUUGGUUUGGUGUACAUGCUGAAGGCGGAAGCCUAUGUGAGCCUUCGCUGUCAGCAAGUUCAAACUUUUAAGUAUUUGGAUCAAGUGUGAAUCAAACAAUUCUCGAGUCUAGACUCAACUAUCUUGACUAUGGGAGUGCUGAAACAGUAAGGGCAUGUUAGUCAUUCAUGCCAUUGAUUUUUAGGCCAUGCUAGAGGAUAUCUGUAGCUUGAUUUGCAUCUAACCUGCAAAUGUUGGUUCCAACAAAUGGUACUUAUUAGGGGCGGUUCAAAUUGUUACAACCUUUCAUGUGGACCACUCUUGAAGGGAUAUGGCUGUCAGGAUCUUUUAGCAUUUAGGAUUUUUGAUCAUUAGGUGGAUUAUCAAUCUGAUGACAUAUGAUAGUAUCUCUAUGUUAAAAAAAGAUGAUAGUUGCAUUUCAUCCUCAUGGUGGUUAUGUGGAAGGGGAGACAAAUCCGUUGAGUUGGGCAAUGGGGAUGAGGGCUCCGCUUUAUGUGGCACAGACAUUCCAGUGCUGCAGUAGCAAAGGGAGGGCACCCUAUCAUGACCUGCAUGCAUACAGGGUCUUCUUUGAUGUGGUAGAUUUUUACUUGUUCAUAGUUGCUUCUCAUAUCUUUCAUACAAAAGCUUUGAUCCUUUUGUGUUUUGACUGUGGGCCAAUUUUGUAGGAUGGUAACCCUAGACUGGCAUGUUUUGGUCUGAUGAAGAACAGCUGGGAUGGAAAGAGCUACAGUACCAAUUCAGUGAACCAUAUUUUGUUUGAUUGCAUUGUAGCCUGGAUGAUCUGGGUUUUCUCCUAGUGAUCUUCAAAUGGACUGAUUAUCCAACAUAUAUGAAGAGUUUAUCUGAAUCGUGGCUUCAGGACAAGGGCCCCCUUCCUGUUAGCUUAACUUUAUUCAUUUUUGCAGGAUUUGCCUGGGCCAUUUGGAAUAAUAGAAACAAGAUGGCUAUUUAGCACAAGUAUCCAAAGUCUCCAAUUGACAUCAUCUAUGUUGCAUUAUCAUAUCUGCAGAAAUGGAGUGUGCUCCUCAAGGAAGCUGACCGCCAGUGUAUCAUGCAAGUGAAGGACGAAGUGCUCUGCUGGAUGAGGAACUUCAAGCCUAGCAUAACAGUAGUGACAGAUGUUUACGAAAUUUAAUCUUUCUCUAGCAUUGUUCUUCUAGUUGUCGCUUUUGUUUUCCUGAGAAACUGGAUUCCCCAGUCUUGUAUCUAACUUUGCUUUCUUAAAAGCUGAGGUAAAACUCUUGUAAAAAAAGAAGAAGAGCUACGGUACUAAUUUGUCCUUCACGGCUCCUGAGUAUCUUAAGACAGGCACUUGUCCUUAUAAGAGGUGUUAAAUGAAGUUAUGGAUCUUAAACUAGCUUUUCUAGGAAAGUUUCAGUGCAUUCUCCCUGUCGAAAUGCAAAUAUUUCAAGUUUUUCCUUUGAAGUUUGCAUCUUGCUCCUUGUUUUAAUUAUGCUUUGAGACCUUGCAAUGUAGGAAACUGGAGUCACCAAAACCACAGGCAGGACUCCCAUUAAAUGCUGCAACUGCAGGAACUCCAGAUGUAUGAAGUUGUAAAUCAGAUUCUAUCCUCAGCUUGAUGAGAAUAAAAUAUUGUAAAGGAUUUUGUCGUGUGGACAAUUAUCAAUGUGGAUUCUUUGACUUUGAUGUAAAAAGGCAAGGAACUGAAGGAGUUCUUUGGAUAGUCAAAAAUAUGCUUAUCAUUCUUGGACAGAGGGAUAAUAUGUAUAUUUAUAUGGCAUUAUAGAUGCGUAUCUACUUGAGCUAUGGCAUUAUUACUGAAUAAAUAAAGUUCACU